rnacentral:rRNA from 1 species
GACGAACGCUGGCGGCGUGCUUAACACAUGCAAGUCGAACGGAAAGGCCAUGAUUUUGUGGGGUGCACGAGAGGCGAACGGGUGAGUAAAACGUGAGUAAAAUGCACUUGAAUGUGGGAUAAAAUCAGGGAAAAGGGGAGAAUACCGGAUAGGAGCUACUGAUGCAUGGGGGGGGAUGGAAAGUGUCGGCGGUUGGGGAUGGGCUCUAGGCUUAUCAGCUUGCUGGUGGGGUAGUGGAUUACAACGGCUAUGACGGGUAGCAGGCCUUGGAGCGUGACCGGCCACCAUGCUACUGCGAUACGGACCAGUCUCCUACGUUCCGCAGUAGUGGGGAAUAUUGCACAGCGGGGCCACGCCUGAUGCAGCAACCCCCCGUGCGUAAUGACGUCCUUCGGGUUGUAAACCGCUUUCUCCUGUGACGAAGCCUGAGUGACGGUAAUUGGUAAAGAAGCACCGGCUAACUACGUG